rnacentral:rRNA from 1 species
UACGUAGGGUGCGAGCGUUGUCCGGAAUUAUUGGGCGUAAAGAGCUCGUAGGCGGUCUGUCGCGUCGGUCGUGAAAACUUGGGGCUUAACCCUGAGCUUGCGGUCGAUACGGGCAUGACUGGAGUUCGGCAGGGGAGACUGGAAUUCCUGGUGUAGCGGUGAAUGCGCAGAUAUCAGGAGGAACACCGGUGGCGAAGGCGGGUCUCGUGGGCCGAUACUGACGCUGGAGGAGCGAAAGCGUGGGGAGCGAACAGG